rnacentral:lncRNA from 1 species
AGAAGAACCAAAUCAGCACAUCAGACAAGCUCCCUGGUUCUGGAUGCAUGUGAUCAAAAUCCUCAAUGACAAGAUGUAAUUAACCCCAGACAAAAGGAAGAAUUGGGCAUCAGAACACGGGUCCCCAGCAACCGCAAGGGCAGGUAGCCAGGGUGCCUUUGCCUCUCCAAGUCACUGCUGGGGAAUGAGGGAGAUGCACCCCGGGGCUCUGGGUGGUGCGGUGUCCCUGAGAGCGACAGUCACACCCUGGGUGUGGUUUGUGCCUAAAAGCAGCAGACACAGAGGCAGGGGGACUCAAGAACUCAGGGGACCUCCACUUCCCCUUCUUGAAAAGUCUGCUUGAGGGAGAAACACAUUGAGUUUGCAGAUGUCUCCAAAUGAAGAAUCCGGCAGGGAAGAAGCUGUGAUCAAGAACGGGAGCUGAACGUUUAACCCAUUUAGACUCAAAAUGAAUGGGAUGUACAGGUCUGAAGGAGAAAGCUCCCGCAGUGUCAGUGGAAAAUCAGAGGGCCCUGACAUCAUGGUGAAGGAUUCGGCCAGCUGUGGACUCAGACAGCUGAAGGAGGAUGGAAACAGACAGGAAGUCCAGGCUGUGCUGUGCCCAGCCCAGAGGCCUCCGGCUUCCCUACACAGGAUUCCAGUCCCAGGGACACCGGGGAGCCACGGGAGUCCAGAAGACCUCUGGGUGCUUCCCCCUGCCCUGCAUUUCUCUGUCCUCUCUCCCAUGCCUCUGGAUAAUGGAAAUGGUUCUUAAUAAAUUCCCACUUCUCACAAGCUUUACAGUAAAGAUGAUCCUCCUGGGAGAUGAUCCUGGGACAGGCUCGGGGCUGGCUGCAGGGCAGAGGGGCCAGGCCUGCAUGUGACACUGACCCUCCCUGGUUUCCAUGGUCACUGUCCCUGAGGUGCUGUCUUCAUCCUGCCUGGAAGUCUCCAGUAGCAUAAGGAAGCACAAGGAAGACAGGGAAGUGGCAUGGGUGUGGUCCCCAGAGUCACUUGGGCAUCUCUUGACUACACAGCUGAGUUUCCUGGUGGUCUCAUGCAAAGAGUUGAGUCUUUCAAAAAUGGUGACGUUUUCUGCUUUUUAAAGCAAUUAGGGAAGCAGCCUGACACAGGUAUGAACCCCUCAGGCAGCUUGAGUUUUCAGGGGGUGCUGAGCAGUGAGCCAGAUAUUCUGGGGAUCAGAGGAGGACGGAUGACAGGGAGAGCAGCCUACGGAGAUGGAGAAGGUGGCAGAACGGGGGUCUUCCCCAAGGCAGGUCCCAGGUCUGGAUGCCAUGUUCCCAUUUUAGGCAGGGACUUGGGGGCACAAGAAGCCCAUCAGGGUGCUUCCUUGGGGUUCCCAUGGAGCCUGGGGAUGUCCAGGAAGUACCCCCCUCGGUGGCCAGCCACCCCGCGCAGUCUUUACUAUGAAGUGACUCUGCCUGCUGGUCAUCACGGCCAGGGUGGUCUUGGAGUCUGACCGGUCCUCUAGGUUGUCCUUCACCUGAGAGCAGCACCAAGGGAAGCUGGAAAGAGCUGAGAUGGGG